AGAGAGAAGAGUUGUGGGGCGAUUUUCCGGACCCCUUGCGUUUCUGCUUCCCGUCCAGGGGUAACUGUUCAGGCUAGGGGUUUUCCUUCCCGUUACAAGGCGCUUGGAUUCUUUUUUGGGGUGUGCUCAAGGCAUUUUUUUUCUCGAUAGGAAAAAAAAGGGCUAGGGUUUCAUGUACAUUCUCUCUCUCGAUGAAUUAUAGGUUUGCGAAAGCUUGACGAAGAUCUCGAUUCGCAUUGGUUUCACGAAAGAGGUUAAGUGUUUUUACCGUUCUGUCUUCCGAUGUUUGUAUUUAUCAAUUUUGUUUUCCCGUUUUGGAGAUUUGCCCACUCUGAGCCAUUUGCAUUGCUUCCCUUGUUGGCUGUGGACGAUGCUGUUUCCUAAACUGCCAUGUUCCCGUUUUUCUGGUUGUGGUUUGGGUGUUUGGGGUUUUUGGGUUCCUGUGCGAAAGAUCUACGUGUUCUCAUCGUUUUGUCUUGCGAUGUGUUAUUCUGCAACUCUUUUGGGGGAAAUUGUUAGAUAUUGAAGUUUCCGCUGUUUCCAUUUUGAAAAAAAAAUUGGAGUAAUGCAUCUAUUUAUGUUUAGAUUAUUUGUCGCUGUUAAUAUGUGCUUUUAUGAUGGUUUCACUCAUGUUUGGUACAUUCUUCGACUAGGAUUUUGCGGUUUUCGUGUUCUGGUGCAGAUGCGGGUUUCGAAAAGUGUUUAUAGCUUUAUGAUCUUUUACAGUUGUUAAUAUGUCAUUGGUUCAGUUAAAUAGUGUUCUUGCCUGCCGUUUUUGGCGUGUGGUUUUUUUAUGCGUGACUUAAACCCUUGCUAUUGAUUCACUAAAUUUAUAUUUUGAUUGUUGUUUCAUGGGAAUGGUAGUACAAGUCCCUUUUGUGCAUUGGAUCCAUCUGGAACGUCAAAGCCAUUUGGCCCCGAAUGGAGUUUUUUUACUGUGGAAACUGUUGGUAGAACGAGAACAAUUGCUGCUGUGUUGACUCAUAGAGCCACUGGACGCCUCUACUACAGACCAUAUUUUUACUACAUGGUGAUGUAAGUAUCCAUUUUUUUAAAUGCGUACAGUCCCAGAAUCUAACAUUGUGAUUUCUGCAUAUGUAACAAAAUCAGGCCAUUAGAGGAACUUAAACUGAAGGCAAUAGAUUUUUACUCUAGGGAGCACCAAAAAUUUGUCAAGUUAGUUGGUUUAUGUUAUAAAACUAAUGCUGUUACAAGUAGGCAUCAACACACAAUAGGCAUUGUUUUUCAUACCUUUGAAAAUUGUUGACGGUGGUGUUUCUUUUGUGCAUGUGGGCCUUCGAUAUUGAGUCAAACGCCUGUAUUUCCAAUGUUGAGAGUUUUGUUGUGUUGGACAGUAUUGUACUGUCCCUCUUGUGCUGACCACAUGUUGUACCUAUUUUAAGGAAAUCAAACCAAAGCAUAUCCAAAUGCAUGUGUAGAUCAUUAGUUCAGAUUAAUUUAUGAUGCAGAAAGUGUGUGACCAAUCAAAGUGUCACGAGCCCUCAAUUCAUGUGCAUUAGUUUUAGAUUAAUUUUGCAGAGUAGUUCACUGAGGAGCAGAUGUCCUCAUCCAAGUAUGAGUUUCCUUCUAAUCUGAGAUUCUUAUAUUCUUCAAAAUGUUAGAUCUUUUGGCACUAAUGCGAUAUGGAAGCCAAAGAGUGGUUCAGAUAUUAACAGGAUUCAUGCUUUUCUUUGUUGUGUUUAGUGCGUUAUAAUUGCAUGUUUUCGUCUGGCAUUGCUUGCAAACCAGUAAAAAAAAUUUGGGGUUGUUCUACCAUCUAUUCCAUUGCCGAUCUUUAGAGCUCUGUGCUGCAUCUUCUUUGCUUACAUGAGUAUGAAUUCUCUAUCUUGGUAACUGUUGGAGAUAAAUCUUUAUGUUUACCCAAAACUCGGUGCUUAUUUUGGAAAAGAAAUUUCUUGCGAAGGGAGGACAAUUACAAAUGCUUGUUUUAACUGAUAUAGGAUAGUCAUUUGCUUUUCCAAUUCAUCUCUGAAUGCCUAUUUUACAAAGUUCAUAGUAGGUUAUUCAAUCUUCAUGGGCCUUUCAGUCACACAAUACUCCUAUGGCUACAUAGUAACUUCCGGUCGUGGUCCUAUUCACACUCACGCACAUUGGGUAUGUUGUGCAUACAAUUUAUCCUUUCUAACUCAAAUGAAUUUUAGUAGUCGCAAAUAUUUUCGUGCUUGAAGAAGCUAAAUGAAAUUUCUAACCAUUACAUGCAGUUUAACAAAAUUGUGGAAAUCAUUUUCACAUCCCCGGCCCCUAUAGCCAGCUAUAAUCGGGGUGUUUUUGGAUUGCGCUAUUCGACCGAGUGAUAUUGAUAAUUGAAUUUUUCUUGACAAUAGGAGGCAUUUUUGGGAGAAGUUCAGGGCUUUUGAUCUUUUGAUAAGGGCCCCAUGAGUAGAGAAUUGUAUUCCCUACCUUCAGGCUUCCUCAGGUCUAUCUCCUUCUCUCUAAAUCAUCUUAGCAAAUGGGCUGAAAAGAUUGGAUGGAUUUGCCCACUUGACACCUAAUUAGAACUCAUUCUUCUACAAUCCUGCUUACAAAUUGAUGAACAGCAUCGGCUCUUCCUUGAGGGCCGUUUGUACAGAAAUGAGCACCAUAUUAUAUUAUAUAUCUAGAAAGACCAUAUAACUGAUAUUCAAUUGAAUCCUUUCUGCCCAAAUGAAAUACAUAUCAGAUUUUAGGCAUAUACUAAUCAUGUGGAGUUUGUACUAUUUUAUGUAUACAGUAGGUAUAUGUCAAAUGUUCUUUCCAUUAAUCUUUUUC